UAUGUGUUUAAUAUAUAUACACUGAACAUAAUACAUCACAUAUAAUACAUAAUAAUUUGAUGUAUAUGCAUUAUAAUAAAAUAAAUAUAUAUUAAGUAUGCAAACCUAAAAUAUUAAUAUAUAUCAAGUAUAUAAAUGCAUAUACAAUAAAUAUAUAAACCUAAAAUAUGAAUAUAUAUAAAGUAGAUGAAUAUCACACAUAAACAAAAUAUAAAUGUCUGGACAUUGACCAUGUACAAGUGUGCAGUGUGGACAGUGAAUGGAAAUGUGAGCAUGAAAUGUGUGUUGAUGCCUCCCUGUCUCCUCUGCACACACGACACACAGGGACCUCCGCGUCUCCUGCGCACACACAACACACAGGGAUCAUUCGGGGUUCAGGGAUGUGUGUCUGUGGUGGGAUCCCUGGCAAUUUUUCUGAUUUGCCCGAUCACUCAUGAGUUUCAUGACUGUUACGAUUUUUCACAGAAGAACCUUGGCUAUGGACAAAAUGGGUUGGCAGAUGCAGGGGGAACCCGAGGCGAGGCUGUUUGUGUCCGGGCUGGCUGUCCUGGUGGCUGCAGGUGCCUAGGCCGUGUGGACAUCUGA
rnacentral:lncRNA from 10 species